UUGUAAACACAAAAUAAGGGCGUGUAAAGGGUCCAUAAGAGUCAUGUGCUGCCGUCGGACGACUCAAAGUAAAAGCCACGUUUUGGACGCAAGUGUUGACAUACCCGUAGUACAGUUCCUAUUCUCAGCAACAAUUUAGCAUUUAAUGUAUUACAGAAUUCAUAAAGGCUGAGGAGGAAGUCAACCAUCGCCCCCCUAUGGAUGGAAAAAAAACUACAGCCCCGUGACACGUCCUGAAAUCAUUCAUGUCUCAAAGGAAGGGAUGGGCCACUGCACACAUUUUGAGUGGAACCUUGAUUACCCACCCGCCCCCUACCCCAAACAAAUAAACGGCACCAGCUGUCUUAAGUUUUAAGAGUGCCAUAUUCAGACUGCAUAUUUCAUCCCAUUCUACAGAUGGUCAAUAGGGUUCUUAGGGAUGGGCAACUUAAAUGAUGGCGGUGGCCACAAUUUUUCAACAGUGCUAACAUAGGACCACAUACUUCCUAA